rnacentral:rRNA from 1 species
CCCCUAGAUGUUCUGGGCCGCACGCGCGCUACACUGACGAAGUCAGCGAGCAUGUCCUACGCCGACAGGUGCGGGGAAUCUUGUCAAACUUCGUCGUGAUGGGGAUUGAUUAUUGAAAUUCUUGAUCAUCAACGAGGAAUUCCUAGUAAGCGCAAGUCAGCAGCUUGCGUUGAUUACGUCCCUGCCCUUUGUACACACCGCCCGUCGCACCUACCGAUUGAAUGGUUCGGUGAAGAUCUCGGACUUCGAUAUUUAUUCUUUAUUGAGUUUAUAUUGUGGGAAGUUAUCUAAACCUCAUCAUUUAGAGGAAGGUGAAGUCGUAACA